UAUAGCUCAGUGGUAGAGUGCUUGCUUAGCAUGCAUGAAGCUCUGGGUUCUAUCCCCAGUA
rnacentral:tRNA from 1 species